GCCCAUGGUACAGUGGAUUGGUGUGUCUGACUGUUAACCAGAAGGUUGGUGGUUUGAGCCCACCCAGGGAUGGCA